GUGGGUGUGGCUCAGUGGCAGAGCUCGUACCUAUCAUGCACACAGCCCUGGGUUCAAUCCCUAGCACCUCCA
rnacentral:tRNA from 1 species